rnacentral:rRNA from 1 species
AUUGAGCGCUGGCGGCAGGCUUAACACAUGCAAGUCGAGCGGGGUGAUGUAGCUUGCUACAUUACCCAGCGGCGGACGGGUGAGUAAUGCUUAGGAAUCUGCCUAUUAGUGGGGGACAACAUUCCGAAAGGAAUGCUAAUACCGCAUACGCCCUACGGGGGAAAGCAGGGGAUCUUCGGACCUUGCGCUAAUAGGUGAGCCUAAGUCAGAUUAGCUAGUUGGUGGGGUAAAGGCCUACCAAGGCGACGAUCUGUAGCGGGUCUGAGAGGAUGAUCCGCCACACUGGGACUGAGACACGGCCCAGACUCCUACGGGAGGCAGCAGUGGGGAAUAUUGGACAAUGGGCGGAAGCCUGAUCCAGCCAUGCCGCGUGUGUGAAGAAGGCCUUUUGGUUGUAAAGCACUUUAAGCGAGGAGGAGGCUACUUGGAUUAAUACUCUAGGAUAGUGGACGUUACUCGCAGAAUAAGCACCGGCUAACUCUGUGCCAGCCGCCGCCGUAACAC